rnacentral:lncRNA from 1 species
GUGAGAGAAGACUUCCUGAGCAUGAGAGAAUGGGCAGCCCUGAAGCAGGCAAAGGAAAAGUGGCACGGCAGGAAGCAGGUCAGAUGAGGGGGCCUGGUUUGUGCGAGAACAUGACAAACCAGUGUUCCUGAAGCCUAAAGGGAAGGUGAGACAAGGCAGAGGAGGCUGGCGGGGCCAGGUCACGGAGUCUCCUGUGCCACACUGAGAGUCCGGACUUGAGCUUGUGGAGAGCCCAAGGAUGAAAACAGAGAAGUAAUUAAUGGCAGCUUUCCUGGGCCAGAAGAAUAAAUAAGGAAUUAUCUUACAAACAGCAAAUAAACCACAGCAACCAUGAAAUUAGAAAUUUGGUAAAACAUGUUGCAGAAGAACCAGGAAACACAUUGCAAUUGAGCCUGCUGGGUGCUGCUGCAAGUUUGGGGGUGAACAGGAGAAUCAGGUUCUUGUAGGUAAGCAGACAAAUGUGUAGAAGGGCUUUUUGUUUUGUUUAAUUUUGAGUGUUGGUGGUGAGUAUGAGGCAUGAUAGAGUAUCAGAACAUUCACAUUCCAUAAGAAGAUGAAAAUAGAAAAAUAUAAGACAGAAUUUGAAUUAUAGCAUUUAUCAUGUGACCUUGGGCAACAAAAAUAAUCUGUAAGCAUCAUUUCUCCAUUUGUUAAAUGGCAACAAUGCCCACCCCUUAUAGAAUUG